GCUAACCUGCCCUUAGGACAGGACCAACCCCGGGAAACUGGGGCUAAUCCCCGAUAGGUGAAGAACUCUGGAAUGAGUCUUCGCCCAAAAGGCGUCAGAUCAUGCUUCUGGCGUCGCCUAAGGAUGGGGCCGCGACCGAUCAGGUUGUUGGUGAGGUAAUGGCCCACCAAGCCUAUAACCGGUGCGGGCCGUGAGAGCGGGAGCCCGGAGAUGGGCACUGAGACAAGGGCCCAGGUCCUACGGGGCGCAGCAGUCGCGAAACCUUUGCAAUACACGAAAGUGUGACAGGGUCAUCCCGAGUGCCGACCGCUGAGGUUGGCUUUUACCCAGUCUAGAACGCUGGGGGAAUAAGGAGAGGGCAAGUCUGGUGUCAGCCGCCGCGGUAAUACCAGCUCUUCGAGUGGUGUGGACGUUUAUUGGGCCUAAAGCAUCCGUAGCUGGCUGAACAAGUCCCCUGUUAAACCCACCGAUUUAAUCGUUGGUCUGCGGGGGAUACUGUUCGGCUAGGGGACGAGAGAGGCAGACGGUAUUCCCGGGGUAGGGGUGAAAUCCUAUAAUCCCGAGAAGACCACCAGUGGCGAAAGCUGUCUGCUAGAACGCGCCCGACGGUGAGGGAUGAAAGCUGGGGGAGCGAACCGGAAUAGAUACCCGGGUAGUCCCAGCCUGUAAACGAUGCAGACUAGGUGUUUGGACGGCCCACGUGCCGUUCUAGUGCCGCAGGGAAGCUGUUAAGUCUGCCGCCUGGGGAGUACGAUCGCAAGAUUGAAACUUAAAGGAAUUGGCGGGGGAGCACCACAAGGGGUGAAGCUUGCGGUUUAAUUGGAGUCAACGCCGGAAAUCUCACCGGGAGCGACAGCAGUUUGAAGGCCAGAUUAAAGGUCUUGCCAGACGAGCUGAGAGGAGGUGCAUGGCCGUCGCCAGUUCGUGCCGUGAGGUGUCCUGUUAAGUCAGGCAACGAUCGAGACCCGCGUCCUCUGUUGCCACCAGCUUUGUGCUGGGCACACUGAGGAGACCGCCACUGAUAAAGUGGAGGAAGGAGCGGGCCACGGCAGGUCAGUAUGCCCCGAAUCUCCCGGGCCACACGCGAGCUGCAAUGGCAGGUACAAUGGGUUCCAACCUCGAAAGGGGGAGGCAAUCUCGAAAGCCUGCCGUAGUUGGGAUCGAGGGCUGUAACCCGCCCUCGUGAACAUGGAAUCCCUAGUAAU
rnacentral:rRNA from 1 species